AUGAUCACUCACCUAGAGCCAGACGUCCUGGAAUGUGAAGUCAAGUGGGCCUUAGAAAGCAUCACUACGAACAAAGCUAGUGGAGGUGAUGGCAUUCCAGUUGAACUAUUUCAAAUCCUGAAAGAUGAUGCUGUGAAAGUGCUGCACUCAAUAUGCCAGCAAAUUUGGAAAAUGCAGCAGUGGCCACAGGACUGGAAAAUGUCAGUUUUCAUUCCAAUCCCAAAGAAAGGCAAUGCCAAAGAAUGCUCAAACCACCACACAAUUGCACUCAUCUCACACGCUAGUAAAGUAAUGCUCAAAAUUCUCCAAGCCAGGCUUCAGCAAUAUGUGAACCAUGAACUUCCAGAUGUUCAAGCUGGUUUUAGAAAAGGCAGAGGAACCAGAGAUCAAAUUGCCAACAUCUGCUGGGUCAUGGAAAAAGCAAGAGAGUUCCAGAAAAACAUCUAUUUCUGCUUUCUUGACUAUGCCAAAGCCUUUGACUGUGUGGAUCACAAGAAACUGUGGAAAAUUCUGAAAGAGAUGGGAAUACCAGACCACCUGACCUGCCUCUUGAGAAACCUAUAUGCAGGUCAGGAAGUAACAGUUAGAACUGGACAUGGAACAACAGACUGGUCCCAAAUAGGAAAAGGAGUACGUCAAGGCUGUAUAUUGUCACCCUGCUUAUUUAACUUCUAUGCAGAGUACAUCAUGAGAAAUGCUGGACUGGAAGAAACACAAGCUGGAAUCAGGAUUGCUGGGAGAAAUAUCAGUCACCUCAGAUAUGCAGAUGACACCACCCUUUUGGCAGAAAGUGAAGAGGAACUCAAAAGCCUUUUGAUGAAAGUGAAAGAGGAGAGUGAAAAAGUUGGCUUAAAGCUCAACAUUCAGAAAACAAAAAUCAUGGCAUCUGGUCCCAUCACUUCAUGGGAAAUAGAUGGGGAAGCAGUGGAAACAGUGUCAGACUUUAUUUUGGGGGGCUCCAAAAUCACUGCAGAUGGUGAGUGCAGCCAUGAAAUUAAAAGACGCUUACUCCUUGGAACAAAAGUUAUGACCAACCUAGAUAGCAUAUUCAAAAGCAGAGACAUUCCUUUGCCAACAAAGGUCCAUCUAGUCAAGGCUAUGGUUUUUCCUGUGGUCAUGUAUGGAUGUGAGAGUUGGACUGUGAAGAAAGCUGAGUGCUGA
rnacentral:lncRNA from 1 species